rnacentral:lncRNA from 1 species
CCUGCAUUACACUUCAUCCAAUCAGAUGCUGCGUGCACCAACACCUCGUUUGAAUACAGGGAAUAUAAAUAGACACCACUCUGUUACCAACCAGCUUUCUCUUUCAUUCCAGUGUACUGGGAAACUAUGUCCAUCGUGGCUGAGCGUUCUCCUAAAUCUAUCUUUGCCAAGAAGGACAUCAGGAAAGCCACUUCCAAAACAGAAAAGGGGAAGAUGUAAAAGAGACGCCCUGAGACAAGUUACGCCACCUAUGUUUACAAGAUCAUGCCUUCCUCCUGGCCCGCCCACCAAGCGCUCCAUCAUCUCGUCCAGUGAGAUCCAGGACUCUGUGUGCACGCUGCUGCUGGGGGAGAGUGACAAGCACACCGUGCCCGAGGCCAGCAAGGCCGUCAUCAGUUGGUUUCGAGACCAGAUGUGGAGAAGGGGUCUCUUAAAGACUCAAGCAUUUUUGGAGCAAGACCAUGGGAAUAGAUUGGGAGCCAGCAAGACACAGAAAGGGGAGAAGAGCUGUGGAUCUGUUUUUAGACGCACCCCUGAGGGCAGAGUGAAAGAUGUGCUCUGGAAGGGCCGCUUGCUACAAGAGCUUUGAAGGGACAGGGCCUGGGCUGUGCAGCCCGUUUAUCCUUCCAACCUCACUAAUCAGCUAAGGGUCCAGGUGUGGACGAGCAAACGGAGCGUUUCCGGGGGAAGGAUGUGCCUGCGCUUCCUAGUUGCCGUAGAAACGUGACGUCAUCGUAGCGACCGUGACGACUUUUUAAUAGAGACGGAGGGGCUCUGGCAAGAGCAGGUCUCACCUUCAGCUCUUCAUGCCAGUGGCCAAGCUCCUAUCAGGCGUCUGAAGGAGGCAGCUUCUGAGGAUCUGUGCCCUGCUGGCUGCUGAACCAUCUGCUCCACAUUGAAGGGCAGCCAUCCUCAGGAGACCCCAGCACUUCACAUCCCUGCUGGGAUAUGACUUCUGACUCGAUGGACCGUCAGAGGAGGGCGUGGACUCUGAGCCUCAGAAGCAGGAGCUGACAGAGAAGAACCAAGUGUGCUGGCGCGUGUGCAGACAGGUUCCUGGAGCAAGAGUGAGGAGAUCAGGGUCCCAUCACUGGGACACUUUAGUGCAGCUCUUCAUGCCGCUGGCCGAGCUCCUAUCAGGCGUCUGAAAGAGGCAGCUUCUGAGGAUCUGUGUCCUCAUGGCUGCUGAACCAUCUGCUCCAGAUUCAAGGGCAGCCGUCCUCAG